CCGUGCAAAGGUAGCGCAAUCACUUGUCUCCUAAAUAGGGACUAGUAUGAACGGCAUCACGAGGAUUUAACUGUCUCCUCCCCCUAAUCUGUGAAACUAAUCUCCCCGUGAAAAAGCAGGGAUAAAUAUAUAAGACGAGAAGACCCUAUGGAACUUUAAACAAAUAACAACUGCUUCUACCACAAGCCUUUCUGAAAGUUAAAAUUUAUUAGCAUAAUGAUUAUAAGUUUUCGGUUGGGGUGACCACGGAGAAAAAAUUAACCUCCACGAUGCAACGAACCUAAAUUCAAAAUUAUAAGCUACAACUUUACGAAUCAACAAAUUGACAUUAUUGACCCAACUUUUUGAUCAACGAACUAAGCUACCCUAGGGAUAACAGCGCAAUCUAUUUUGAGAGUACAUAUCGACACAUAGGCUUACGACCUCGAUG
rnacentral:rRNA from 1 species